GAUCAUGGCUCAGGAUGAACGCUGGCGGCGUGCUUAACACAUGCAAGUCGAACGGACUUAUGUUGAAACCUAGUGAUAUAUAAGUUAGUGGCGGACGGGUGAGUAACGCGUGGAUAACCUGCCAUAUACAGGGGGAUAACACUUAGAAAUAGGUGCUAAUACCGCAUAAGCGCACAGUACCGCAUGGUACGGUGUGAAAAGCUCCGGUGGCAUACGAUGGACCCGCGUCUGAUUAGAUAGUUGGUGAGGUAACGGCCCACCAAGUCAACGAUCAGUAGCCGGCCUGAGAGGGUGAACGGCCACAUUGGGACUGAGACACGGCCCAAACUCCUACGGGAGGCAGCAGUGGGGAAUAUUGGGCAAUGGGGGAAACCCUGACCCAGCAACGCCGCGUGAAGGAAGAAGGCCUUCGGGUUGUAAACUUCUUUUACCAGGGACGAAGAACGUGACGGUACCUGGAGAAAAAGCAACGGCUAACUACGUG
rnacentral:rRNA from 1 species